CGUGUAGGUGUGUGUUCCAGGUAAAUCCGGUUCACUUUAACACUGAGGCGUGAUGACGAGGCACUACGGUGCUGAAGCAACAAAUGCCCUGCUUCCAGGAAAAGCCUCUAAGCAUCAGGUAACAUCAAAUCGUACCCCAAACCGACACAGGUGGUCAGGUAGAGAAUACCAAGGCGCUUGAGAGAACUCGGGUGAAGGAACUAGGCAAAAUGGUGCCGUAACUUCGGGAGAAGGCACGCUGACACGUAGGUGAAGUGAUUUACUCAUGGAGCUGAAGUCAGUCGAAGAUACCAGCUGGCUGCAACUGUUUAUUAAAAACACAGCACUGUGCAAACACGAAAGUGGACGUAUACGGUGUGACGCCUGCCCGGUGCCGGAAGGUUAAUUGAUGGGGUCAGCGCAAGCGAAGCUCCUGAUCGAAGCCCCGGUAAACGGCGGCCGUAACUAUAACGGUCCUAAGGUAGCGAAAUUCCUUGUCGGGUAAGUUCCGACCUGCACGAAUGGCGUAAUGAUGGCCAGGCUGUCUCCACCCGAGACUCAGUGAAAUUGAACUCGCUGUGAAGAUGCAGUGUACCCGCGGCAAGACGGAAAGACCCCGUGAACCUUUACUAUAGCUUGACACUGAACAUUGAGCCUUGAUGUGUAGGAUAGGUGGGAGGCUUUGAAGUGUGGACGCCAGUCUGCAUGGAGCCGACCUUGAAAUACCACCCUUUAAUGUUUGAUGUUCUAACGUGGACCCGUGAUCCGGGUUGCGGACAGUGUCUGGUGGGUAGUUUGACUGGGGCGGUCUCCUCCUAAAGAGUAACGGAGGAGCACGAAGGUUGGCUAAUCCUGGUCGGACAUCAGGAGGUUAGUGCAAUGGCAUAAGCCAGCUUGACUGCGAGCGUGACGGCGCGAGCAGGUGCGAAAGCAGGUCAUAGUGAUCCGGUGGUUCUGAAUGGAAGGGCCAUCGCUCAACGGAUAAAAGGUACUCCGGGGAUAACAGGCUGAUACCGCCCAAGAGUUCAUAUCGACGGCGGUGUUUGGCACCUCGAUGUCGGCUCAUCACAUCCUGGGGCUGAAGUAGGUCCCAAGGGUAUGGCUGUUCGCCAUUUAAAGUGGUACGCGAGCUGGGUUUAGAACGUCGUGAGACAGUUCGGUCCCUAUCUGCCGUGGGCGCUGGAGAACUGAGGGGGGCUGCUCCUAGUACGAGAGGACCGGAGUGGACGCAUCACUGGUGUUCGGGUUGUCAUGCCAAUGGCACUGCCCGGUAGCUAAAUGCGGAAGAGAUAAGUGCUGAAAGCAUCUAAGCACGAAACUUGCCCCGAGAUGAGUUCUCCCUGAGACUUAGAGUCUCCUGAAGGAACGUUGAAGACGACGACGUUGAUAGGCCGGGUGUGUAAGCGCAGCGAUGCGUUGAGCUAACCGGUACUAAUGAACCGUGAGGCUUAACCUUACAACGCCGAAG
rnacentral:rRNA from 1 species